rnacentral:rRNA from 1 species
GAUGAACGCUAGCGGCAGGCCUAAUACAUGCAAGUCGAACGGUGUCUUCGGACAUAGUGGCGCACGGGUGCGUAACGCGUAUGCAACCUACCUUGAUCAGGGGGAUAGCCCGAAGAAAUUCGGAUUAACACCGCAUAAGAACACAGAGUGGCAUCACUUAGUGUUUAAAUAUUUAUAGGAUCAAGAUGGGCAUGCGUGACAUUAGCUAGUUGGUGAGGUAACGGCUCACCAAGGCGACGAUGUCUAGGGGAUCUGAGAGGAUGACCCCCCACACUGGGACUGAGACACGGACCAGACUGCUACGGGAGGCAGCAGUACGGAAUAUUGGUCAAUGGAGGCAACUCUGAACCAGCCAUGCCGCGUACAAGAAGACGGCCCUAUGGGUUGUAAACUGCUUUUAUACGGGAAUAAACCCCGCUACGUGUAGCGGGUUGAAUGUACAGUAAGAAUAAGGAUCGGCUAACUCCGUGCCAGCCGCCGCCGUAAUAC